GUCGAGUGGCCAGGAUGUGGCUUUGAGAUUGUUCGCACUUAGUAAUCGCGAUGCUGGCUUCCAACGGUUGCCUCCGGCCCGUCUUGAAACACGGACCAAGGAGUCUAACGUAUGUGCGAGUGUGUGAGUGGCAAACUUAUACGCGUAAUGAAAGUGAGGCCGUAUGGCCAUGUUGGGGUCACCAACAACCGACCUUGAUCUUCGGUGAAAGGUUUGAGUAUGAGCAUAUCCGUUAGGACCCGAAAGAUGGUGAACUAUGCCUGAGCAGGGUGAAGCCAGGGGAAACUCUGGUGGAGGCUCGUAGCGAUACUGACGUGCAAAUCGUUCGUCAGACUUGGGUAUAGGGGCGAAAGACUAAUCGAACCAUCUAGUAGCUGGUUCCCUCCGAAGUUUCCCUCAGGAUAGCUAGAGUCUUUAUCAGUUUUGUCAGGUAAAGCGAAUGAUUAGAGGUUCCGGGGAAGUAACUUCCUCGACCUAUUCUCAAACUUUAAAUGGGCAAGAUCCAGUAGUUACUUAAUUGAACUAUUGGGGUCAAUGAGACGACUCUAAGUGGGCCAUUUUUGGUAAGCAGAACUGGCGAUGAGGGAUGAACCUAACGCUCGGUUAAGGUGCUAAACUGCUCGCUCAUCAGAUACCACAAAGGGUGUUGGUCGAUCUUAACAGCAGGACGGUGGUCAUGGAAGUCGAAAUCCGCUAAGGAGUGUGUAACAACUCACCUGCCGAAUCGACUAGCCCCGAAAAUGGAUAGCGCUGAAGCGAGUGACCGAUACCGGGCCAUUGUUGCAAGAUAAUUGGCAACAAUGAGUAGGAGGGCGUGGGGGUUGUGAAGAAGCUUGGACGUGAGUCUGAGUGAAACAGCUUCCAGUGCAGAUCUUGGUGGUAGUAGCAAGUAUUCAAUAAGAGAACAUUGAACGCCGAAGUGGGGAAGGGUUCCAUGUGAACAGCACUUGGACAUGGGUUAGCCGAUCCUGAGAGACAGGUUAAAUUCCAUCGGAUUGGAGCUUUGGCUCUGUUUCUCGAAAGGGAAGCUGGUUAGUAUUCCAGCGCCGAGACGUGGAUAUAUGUGGCAACACAAGUGAACUCGGACACGC
rfam:Perkinsus marinus ATCC 50983 gcontig_1104296707890, whole genome shotgun sequence.